GCAAAGAGAAUUUAUUCAUGAAAGAAUUUUUCUAUGACUGUCUGGAAGUGAUCUGAGUAGAGGGGGGACACUGAACAUGUGCUGUUAUUGGCAGAGAGGUUUUAGAACUCUCUUUCUGAUUGGUCAUUUAACUAGUUUACUGCAAGGUGAUGUCACAGUGGAACGCCAAAACUCCAUCCCACCAAAACAGUCAGAAUCUUUAGGCGUUCUUUUCAAACAGCUCUUACACUAAAUGGGCAUUAUCAUAAUGUUCACGAUUUCACAGUAUUACUUCAACCUCAUAGUGCAAAUAUACAUAAAACACAGAAAAAUCACAUUUUUGAAUUCACCGGCCCUUUAAUAUAUCAACAUGUUCUGUACUCCCCAUGUCAAAAUAGAAUUGUAGGAAAUUUACUUUAAAACAACAACAAAAAAUGUCUCUCCAGUCAAGAGGUUGAUCAUUAAAAUGUUUUGUAGUCAGGAUGGGGGUCCCCCAGCCAAAUCUCACUUAGGUCCCCAAAUGUCCAGAGAAACGGGACAUGACAUUGUAACCACAUAUUUUAUGUUAAUUAGUAAUGACACUAAUUUGUAAAUACUGUUAUACUGUACUAGGCCAGAUACGAUCAACUUGCUGAUGCUGUAAUCCAUCUCUUUAUUCAUUGGCUCUGAACCAAACUCCAACCCCAGAUGCAGGUGUUGUGAUCACUGCUCAUAGUUUUCUAUCAGACAUGGUUUUUGUAGAGGAGAGGAGCUUCUCUACAUCACUGUGUUGGCUGGCUGCACAGUAAUACACUGCACUGUCUUCAGGUGAUCUCAGACUCAGUAGAUGAAGAUAAGCCUCUUUCCUACCAUUUCCACUCACAUUGAAGUGCUUUUCAAAUGAUUUCUCCAUGGUUAUUGACUCGGCAAAUGCAUAACCAAUGAGUUUCAUAGCAGGGUCUCCUGUUGACUGUUGGUACCACAGUAUUGUAUUGUAGUUUUGAAUAGCAUGGUUGCAGGUGAGUUGUACAUUAUCUUUAGAUCCUUUUAGUAUUGCAAUAGGAGUCUGAUGGACUUCGGUGCUAAGCGACUGCCCUGUUGACAAAGAAAGAGAGAGAGAGAGAGAGAGAGAGAGAGAGAGAUACAGAGACAGAGGGAGUGAGAGAGAUAGACACAGAGAGAGAUAGGAUAUUUUAUUUAGUUAAACGACAUUCAUAGAUUUGUUAGACUUCUCUUAAUGAGUGGUUUAAUACCUGUGACCCAGAGUGGUAGAGCUGCCAGGUGAAUCAGAACUCUGAUCAUAGUGAAGAAGACUUGAUGGAGAAGAUGAAUAUGUUUCCUCAGUGGAGGAGAGAUAUGAGUGUCUCCUGGAUGAAGCCCUGAGGUGAAAGGAGAGGGGCUGAUGUAGUAGCAUAUGUUAUUUAGGGUGGUGGUUAGUGGGAGUGUCAGAAAGUCUGUACCAUAAUGUUUGCUCAUAGGACCUCACAGU
rnacentral:lncRNA from 13 species